AAAUUAGUUCAUGACAGAUGAGUCAUGAGCUUAGUUCAAUCGCAGCUGGAACACUAUUAAUCUUUCGCAAUACACUGUUUAUUUUUUUUAGUUGUUUUCUUAUAAUACAGGUUUUUCCUAAGUACUGUUGUUGUUGAUGGGGUCAAGGUCAUUGACAAUAGAAUACAAAGGAAUAAAGUGAUUGACAAUAGAAUACAAAGGAAUUCUACUGUUUCCUGGUAUACCAACGAGUUAUUUAUCACAAAAAAUACUUUAUUCAUUGUAUUUCUAAAAAAAUGUAUUAUCCUCGUUUGGAUGUUACUGUUGUUGUUAAUGGAGUUGAAGGUCAUUGACAAUAGAAUACAAAGAAUAAGGUCAUUGACAAUAUAAUACAAAGGAAUUCUACUGCUUCCUGGUAUACUUGUGAGUCCAAUGAGUUAUUUAUCGCAAAAAAAGUACUUUAUUCAUUGUAUUUCUAAA
rnacentral:lncRNA from 1 species